rnacentral:tmRNA from 1 species
AGGGUGCCGAAGGCGUGAGGUGCGAGGUGCGAGGUGCGUGCGGGCUGGAGCCGCGUCGGAUAGGGAGUUCGUCCGGCGCGGUGCAAUUGCUUACAAACGGACCGGGCCUUGUCCUCGCACAGGCAUUGAAUGCAGCCGCCGACCUGCGUAAGAUCGCGGACAUGGUUGUAAUCCCGGCAAUCUGGAGGCGUUCUGGACAGGGGUUCGAUUCCCCUCACCUCCACCC